rnacentral:rRNA from 1 species
GACGAACGCUGGCGGCGUGCUUAACACAUGCAAGUCGAACGGAAAGGCCCUGCUUUUGUGGGGUGCUCGAGUGGCGAACGGGUGAGUAACACGUGAGUAACCUGCCCUUGACUUUGGGAUAACUUCAGGAAACUGGGGCUAAUACCGGAUAGGAGCUCCUGCUGCAUGGUGGGGGUUGGAAAGUUUCGGCGGUUGGGGAUGGACUCGGGGCUUAUCAGCUUGUUGGUGGGGUUGUGGCUUACCAAGGCUUUGACGGGUAGCCGGCCUGAGAGGGUGACCGGCCACAUUGGGACUGAGAUACGGCCCAGACUCCUACGGGAGGCAGCAGUGGGGAAUAUUGCACAAUGGGCGGAAGCCUGAUGCAGCAACGCCGCGUGCGGGAUGACGGCCUUCGGGUUGUAAACCGCUUUCGCCUGUGACGAAGCGUGAGUGACGGUAAUGGGUAAAGAAGCACCGGCUAACUACGUG